AAUCAACGCUGGCGGCGUGCCUAACACAUGCAAGUCGAACGAGAAAGCGGGGGCAACUCCGUGAGUAAAGUGGCAGACGGGUGAGUAACACGUGAACAACCUACCCUUGAGUGGGGAAUAACACCGCGAAAGCGGUGCUAAUGCCGCAUAAAAUCCCUGAGUCGCAUGACAUGGGGAUCAAAGGCGAAAGUCGCUUGGGGAGGGGUUCGCGCCUGAUUAGCUAGUUGGUGAGGUAACGGCCCACCAAGGCAACGAUCAGUAGCCGGCCUGAGAGGGCGAACGGCCACACUGGAACUGAGACACGGUCCAGACUCCUACGGGAGGCAG
rnacentral:rRNA from 1 species